UACGUAGGGUGCAAGCGUUGUCCGGAGUUAUUGGGCGUAAAGGGCUCGUAGGCGGUCCAUCGCGUCGGGAGUGAAAAGCUGGGGCUUAACCCCAGUCCUGCUUCCGAUACGGGUGGACUAGAGGUAGGUAGGGGAGAUCGGAAUUCCUGGUGUAGCGGUGAAAUGCGCAGAUAUCAGGAGGAACACCGGUGGCGAAGGCGGAUCUCUGGGCCUGUUCUGACGCUGAGGCGCGAAAGCUAGGGGAGCGAACAGG
rnacentral:rRNA from 1 species